rnacentral:rRNA from 1 species
AAAAAAUCGAUCUUGGCUAGGUGUUUAUAGCCGAAAAAAUUUUUUUUUGGCUUAACCGAAACCAAUAUAAUCAC